rnacentral:lncRNA from 1 species
AUGUAGCCAAGGUUUGCUCUUUGUGUACUCUGAGACUACCAUACGUAAAGGCUGGUGUUUGAACUUGGCUCCUAGCAGUGGCAGCUUGUUAGGGAAGAGUUCUGGCUCGGGAGGCAGGAGAUCAGGCUUCUGGUCUAGCUCUGCCAUUAACCGGCUCUGGAGCCUGGGCCGCAGUGUCCCAUAUUUCAGUUGGGCUGGAGACGGAGUUUCACCAUGUUGGCCAGGAUGGUCUCUGUCUCUUGACCUCGUGAUCCGCCCGCCUUGGACUUCCAGAGUGCUGGGAUUACAGGCAUGAGCCACCACGCCCAGCCUUGUUUUUGUAUAUUUUGUAGAGACAGGUCUUACUAUGUUGCCCAGGUUUGUCUUGGAGCUCCACUCCAAGGUGGAGCUCAAGCGAUCCACCUGCCUCAGCCUCCCAAAGUGCUGGGAUUACAGAUGUGAGCCACCAUGCCCAGCCUUCAUGGGUUUCCCUAGGAUCACCAGCUGUCAUGGACUGAUUUGUGUCUCUCCAAAUUCAUAUGUUGAAUACUUAACCUGCCAUGCGAUUGUGAUUGGAGAUAAUUCCUUUAGGGAAGCAAUGAAGGUUAAAUGAGGUCAUAGGUGGGAGCUUAAUCCAAUGGGACUGGGGUCCCUACAAGAAGAGGAAGACACCAGAGCUCUCUGUCUCCACACACAGAGAAAAGAGGCUGUAUGAGGACACAAGAGAAGGUAAUAGCUGUCUACAAACCAAGAAGAGAAGCCUCUCCAGAAAAUGAACCCUGCUGGAACUUGGUCUUGGACUUUCCAGCCUCCAGAACUGGGAGAAAAUAAAGUUCAAAAUAAAGUUCUGUUGUGUAAGC